rnacentral:lncRNA from 9 species
GUUUCUCCAGGAAAAUAUGGGCAUCAGAAUCAUGAAGGAGCUACUCCCAGAAGGUGGAUUUAAGCAAUGCCAAGAGUGAUCUCCAUACAUGUUGUAAUGUGGUAUGCAUAUUUUCCCACUUCAAUAUUAAUCACCCAGUCCAUAAGCUACUGGAAAUUGCCCUCAGAUGAAAGGAAUCACCCUACCCAAGACCACAUUCCCUUCCUAGGACCUGCCCUCAUCCAAUGACCGGUUGAUGCUGGAUAUAAAGGACCUGCCCCUUGCCCCAACUGGGGACAACUGGAAAGGUCAGCUUAGCUCCAAAGCACUCCAUAAAAUGGGCUGAGAUCUUCAUUGUAGCUCCAUCACAGUUCUACUUUUCUCUCCCCUCUCCAGUCCUUCUUUCUUCCACUCCCAACAGUAUUGAUUCCAAGAACACUCCCUAAUAAAACCCCUGAAUACAAGUCUCCAUUUCAAAGUUUUUCUCAGAGAUCACAACCUACACCAUGGGAUGAAAUGUUAUUAUUAUUAAAUGCUUAGUCUAUAUUAAUCUAAUUUAUACCCCCAAAAACCUGUAAGGUUAAUGUGAAAGUCAACUCAUCACAGUGGAUGAAAGUGAGACUUAGAGAAGUUAAAUACCUUACCCAAUAUCACAUCAUCUAUAGCUGGUGGAGUCAAGAUCUGAACCAGGUUAGCAAACUUCUCAAGCCUGUGCAAAGUUUUAUUAAUGGCUGAGUAUUUCCAAGAGAGGCAAUUGCAUGAACAAAGACAUAGGUAGAUGAUAAAUUAGAUAGAUGAUAGAGAGAGAGAGAGAGAGAGAGAGAGAGAGGAACUGUACGGAGUAUCCUAGUUCAUGCCUCUCUGAGCACCUCUCUCUGCUGGAGACAUGAGAAGUAGGAGGAAUUAGGUCUGAAAAACAAGAGUUCAAAUUGGAAUAAACCAAGAAUGCCAUUGGAAGAGAUGGGCUUACCCCAAAAUUGAAACAGUUUUGUAAAACACUCAAAUGAUACCCUUUUCCUCCACAAAGAAAAAAACAAUAUGGCUUCUUGAUAAGGUGAAAGCUAAUGAAAAUUUUAAAUUUGCCCCCUUAAAUUCUGUUAUAUCUUUGCCAGGUAUGAAAAAAGGCAGGGAACAUGGGGAGAAGUGGAUGGAGAGCCUUUCCAUUUCCAUUUUCUGUGACUUGAUGUUAAGGAAAAAAUCUCAGACAUAAUCAUGUAAUUACCCAUUAAAUGUUCACCAAAGCACCUUUGAGCGAAAGAUCCUGCAUUUACCUUGUAGUGAACAUUACAUCUCUUGUUCCUUCACAGCCAAGAAAAAUCUCUCAGUCGUGCAAUUUGUAGCAACCUGGGAUUUUUUUAUUCCAAACUUCGCUUGGUCCUGACGGCCACUUGGUGGGCUUUCAUGCCUCUCUGAGCACUUCUCCCUGCUA